rnacentral:lncRNA from 1 species
CGCGCAGAGAGAGAGAGAGAGCCACGUCCCUGUUGCAAAAUAAGCCGUAGGCUUCUUCACUGUGAAGCAAACACAAGUUUUUGACAGAAGUGAAGAACACAUACACUCAAGAUCUCGAUGCAAUUCUCACACGAAUAAGAAAAGUAAAAGAGCACAAAACAGAAGAUAAAAGGGGGAACAAAUGAAAACCCAGGUAAGGAAAAGGCGUACUUAUCGCCGGAGGAGAAGCUGUAGAGCUUGCCGGAGGCGGAGACGACGAGAAGAGCGACGGAUGCGUCACAGAGAACAGAAAGCUGACGAGCUUUCUCGAUGAGACCGUUGCGACGUUUGGAGAAGGUGACUUGUCGGCUACUUUUGUUCUCAAUUCGCUUGAUUUCUAGUUUUUUUCUUCCCAUGGCUUCUCUCCGAGAGGGCUUUGUGCCCUAAUUUGAUCCUCAGGUUUGGGUUCAAGUCGCCGGAGAUACUAAGCGUUUUCUCUUUCUAUUUUUUUUUUUCCUUUUCUCGCUUUAUUUCUUUCUAUUUUUUGUGCCUAUCUACUUUUUCUUCGUCGGGCCAGAUAUUUUUUUUUUUUUGGGGGUAAACGAGAGUGAUGCAAAAAAACCAAAUAUGUGAAUAAAAACGUUGUGUUUUGAAGACAAGAUUGCCACGUGUACCGC